AACAUCUUUAAACAAAAUAAGCGAUCUUAAUGAAGAAAUAAAAAAGUUACGUUCUGAAAAUGAAGAUUUAACUUCAAAGUUGUCGAGUGCGGAAGAAAAAAUAAAAUCUUUGGAAACUCGAGUGCAGAAAGCUGAGUUCCACCAAAGCAAUUUGGAAAGCAAGU